rnacentral:rRNA from 1 species
GACGAACCGUGCGAACGUUGUUCGGAAUCACUGGGCUUAAAGGGCGCGUAGGCGGGCCGGCCAGUCGGAGGUGAAAGCCCCCAGCUCAACUGGGGAAGUGCCCCCGAUACUGCCGGCCUUGAGGGAGGUAGGGGCGUGCGGAACUUCCGGUGGAGCGGUGAAAUGCGUAGAGAUCAGGAAGAACACCGGUGGCGAAGGCGCUCUGCUAGGCCGCAACUGACACUGAGGGACGAAAGCUAGGGGAGCGAAUGGG